UAUCAACACUCGAGCCUACAGAAAUAGAUUUUUACAAAACUCUUCGCUCUCCCAAGAAAACACAAAAACAAAUCCGAGUUUUAGGGUUUCUUUUUCCUCAAAAAUUGAUUUCUUCGUCACUUCUCUGUCGAUUCGUUUCUAUCCCAUUCUCUGUUUCAAAUCCAGAAACUAGGGUUUAAGCAAUGGCGACAGCUACAAGUCAGGGUCGUGAUCCGCUGUUCGUGUCAAAAUCUGAUCGAGCGGCAGCGAUAAGGAUUAGGUUUGCGGAUAUCAUUGUUAAGUCGAGUAGUAACAAGUCUGAGGCAAUGAUGAAGAUCAGAAGAGAGAAGCAGCUUCAAGAAGAAAAAGCAAGAAUGAAAAUCAGACAAGAGGCAAGGCUUGCGGUGCUAAAGGUGGAAGAAGAAGAAGAAGAAGCAAGAUCCGAUUGUAGAUCUCAGGGAUGACAAACUCUUCUUGAUUGACCCAUAAUUUUUUGUACAUGUCAAGUGCUCAGGAAUACAUAUACGUGUUCAUUCAGGCCAGUGUUGACACAGGCAGACAGGUCAGGGCUGCUGUUAAAAAAAGAGGAUUGAGAUGGGGUUCAAUAAGCACGGUUCUGUGUGAGAUAUAUCACUUUGACGAGUCUGAUAUUCCAAAGGAUGAUGUAGCAGUGAUGUUUCCAAGGGUUUUCCAGUCUAGCUCACCAUAUUGGGUCAGCUUUACUAGAUUUGGCGUCCAUGAGACACUACCAUGGCAUGUUCGGGUUGUUAAAGAGAAGCUGAACGGUGGGUUACAACAACGUUAGUUACCAUUGCUGUAAAGUUGUUCUUGCUGCAUCUGAGUCUCCAUGCUGUUUUUCACCAUCAUGAGAAAGUAUUGCUGAACUGGCUAAGUUAAGUCCUUGCUAUUGCUGAACUGGCCAAGUGAAGAGAGAAGUGAGGUGGCAGUUACAGAGCUGAAGAUUGGUGGAGUAUAAAUAGGGCUUGUUGCUUAUCGAUUGUUUAGAAUCUUAUCAUUGGGCUUGUUGAGUUUUCUCUUCAAGAAGACAGUUUCAAGAGCUUGUUCUUGAACCUGAAGGAUCGUUCCCAUCAAUUUGGUGGAUUCCAUAUUGAUUUUCCUUGUUAAUCAA